CCUACGGGAGGCAGCAGUAGGGAAUAUUGCUCAAUGGGGGAAACCCUGAAGCAGCAACGCCGCGUGGAGGAUGAAGGUUUUCGGAUUGUAAACUCCUUUUGUUAGAGACGAUAAUGACUGUAUCUAACGAAUAAGCACCGGCGAACUCCGUGCCAGCAGCCGCGGUAAUACGGAGGGUGCAAGCGUUACUCGGAAUCACUGGGCGUAAAGAGCGAGUAGGCGGGAUAGCAAGUCAGAUGUGAAAUCCUAGGGCUUAACCAUAGAACUGCAUUUGAAACUGUUAUUCUAGAGUAUGGGAGAGGUAGGUGGAAUUCUUGGUGUAGGGGUGAAAUCCGUAGAGAUCAAGAGGAAUACUGAGUGCGAAGGCGACCUGCUAGAACAUAACUGACGCUGAUGCGCGAAAGCGUGGGGAGCAAACAGGAUUAGAUACCCGGGUAGUC
rnacentral:rRNA from 1 species